rnacentral:rRNA from 1 species
GGCGAUCGAAAAGAUUAAGCCAUGCAUGUAUAAGUUUAAUCGUUUUAACGAGAAACCGCGAACGGCUCAUUACAAUGGCCAUGAUUUACUUGAUCUUGAUUAUCUAAAUGGAUAACUGUGGAAAAGCUAGAGCUAAUACAUGCACCAGAGCUUUGUCCUCUCGGAAAAGCGCAUUUAUUAGAACAAAACCACGCGGCUUCGGCUGCUUCUUGUUGACUCAGAAUAACUAAGCUGACCGCAUGGCCUUGUGCCGGCGGCGUGUCUUUCAAGCGUCCACUUUAUCAACUUGACGGGAGCAUAAUCGACUCCCGUGGUGGUGACGGAUAACGGAGGAUCAGGGUUCGACUCCGGAGAAGGGGCCUGAGAAAUGGCCACUACGUCUAAGGAUGGCAGCAGGCGCGCAAAUUACCCACUCUCGGCUCGAGGAGGUAGUGACGAGAAAUAACGAGACUGUUCUCUUUGAGGCCGGUCAUCGGAAUGGGUACAAUUUAAACCCUUUAACGAGUAUCAAGCAGAGGGCAAGUCUGGUGCCAGCAGCCGCGGUAAUUCCAGCUCUGCUAAUACAUAGAAUUAUUGCUGCGGUUAAAAAGCUCGUAGUUGGAUUCGUAUCGGUACCUUGGAACCCUUCGGGUGUUUCUGGGUGUUAUCGAUUUAUCGUAAUGUUCGGUUUUGAGUCCUUAACAGGAUUUUUAACAGUCAUUGCAAGUUUACUUUGAACAAAUCAGAGUGCUUCAAACAGGCGUUUUCGCUUGAAUGAUCGUGCAUGGAAUAAUAGAAAACGAUUUCGGUUCAGUUUUAUUGGUUUUACGGACUGAGAUAAUGGUUAACAGAGACAAACGGGGGCAUUUGUAUGGCCCCGUGAGAGGUGAAAUUCUUGGACCGUGGCCGGACAAACUACAGCGAAAGCAUUUGCCAAGAAUGUCUUCAUUAAUCAAGAACGAAAGUCAGAGGUUCGAAGGCGAUCAGAUACCGCCCUAGUUCUGACCGUAAACGAUGCCAACUAGCGAUCCGCUGAUGGAAAUUAUAUUGCCUUGGUGGGGAGCUUCCCGGAAACGAAAGUCUUCCGGUUCCGGGGGAAGUAUGGUUGCAAAGCUGAAACUUAAAGGAAUUGACGGAAGGGCACCACCAGGAGUGGAGCCUGCGGCUUAAUUUGACUCAACACGGGGAAACUCACCCGGCCCGGACACUGUGAGGAUUGACAGAUUGAUAGCUUUUUCAUGAUUCAGUGGAUGGUGGUGCAUGGCCGUUCUUAGUUCGUGGAGUGAUUUGUCUGGUUUAUUCCGAUAACGAGCGAGACUCUAACCUACUAAAUAGUUGGUACAUACUCUUUGUGUAUACAGCUUCUUAGAGGGAUUUGCGGCGUUCAGCCGAAAGAAAUUGAGCAAUAACAGGUCUGUGAUGCCCUUAGAUGUCCGGGGCUGCACGCGCGCUACACUGGCAAAAUCAACGUGCUUGUCCUACCCUGAAAGGGGCGGGUAAACCAUUGAAAAUUUGCCGUGAUUGGGAUCGGAAAUUGCAAUUAUUUUCCGUGAACGAGGAAUUCCAAGUAAGUGCGAGUCAUCAGCUCGCGUUGAUUACGUCCCUGCCCUUUGUACACACCGCCCGUCGCUGCCCGGGACUGAGCCAUUUCGAGAAAUUUGGGGACCGUUGAUUUAAUUUAUCUAAAUUAUUUUGAUGGAAACCAAUUUAAUCGCAGUGGCUUGAACC